CGGGUGCACCAGGCGCGAAAACUUUACAAUGCCGGCAACGGCGAUAAGGGAACCUCGAGUGCCAGGUUACAAAUCUGGCUGUCGUGAUGCCUAAAAAGCAUUGCAUAGCAAGGGCCGGGCAAGACCGGUGCCAGCCGCCGCGGUAACACCGGCGGCUCGAGUGGUAACCGUUAUUAUUGGGUCUAAAGGGUCUGUAGCCGGCCGGGUAAGUCUCUUGGGAAAUCUGGCAGCUUAACUGUCAGGCUUUCAGGAGAUACUGCCUGGCUCGAGGCCGGGAGAGGUGAGAGGUACUUCAGGGGUAGGGGUGAAAUCUUGUAAUCCUUGAAGGACCACCAGUGGCGAAGGCGUCUCACCAGAACGGACCUGACGGCAAGGGACGAAAGCUAGGGGCACGAACCGGAUUAGAUACCCGGGUAGUCCUAGCCGUAAACGAUACUCGCUAGGCGUCGGCCACGGUGCGACCGUGGUCGGUGCCGUAGGGAAGCCGUGAAGCGAGCCACCUGGGAAGUACGGCCGCAAGGCUGAAACUUAAAGGAAUCGGCGGGGGAGCAC
rnacentral:rRNA from 1 species